AUGCCAUGAUGAGGGCAUUUUCAUAACAACUCCUUGAACUGCUCCCAUGCCUCAUAUAAAGAUUCUUUAUCAAGUUGUUGAAAUGAAGUAAUCUCAUUGAGGAGCUU